UAUCUCUCAGGGUCGCACCUGGAGAGUUUCCAGUACUCUGCCAGUUUCGACUACGGGAGGGAGAGUCAAGCAGAGGCCUACCCAUUCCAUUCCUAGCUUGGGCAGUGGCUAAUUAGUGGUGGGCAAUUUGCUACCAGU